GAUGGAACGCAGCAAAAUGCGAUAAGUAAUGUGAAUUGCAGAAUUCAGUGAAUCAUCGAAUCUUUGAACGCACAUUGCGCCCGCUGGUAUUCCGGCGGGCAUGCCUGUUCGAGCGUCAUUUCAACCCUCAAGCCCCCGGGUUUGGUGUUGGGGAUCGGCUCUGCCCUUCUGGGCGGUGCCGCCCCCGAAAUACAUUGGCGGUCUCGCUGCAGCCUCCAUUGCGUAGUAGCUAACACCUCGCAACUGGAACGCGGCGCGGCCAUGCCGUAAAACCCCAACUUCUGAAUGUUGACCUCGGAUCAGGUAGGAAUACCCGCUGAACUUAAGCAUAUCAAUAAGCGGAGGA
rnacentral:misc_RNA from 1 species